GACGAACGCUGGCGGCGUGCUUAACACAUGCAAGUCGAGCGGAAAGGCCUCUUUGGGGGUACUCGAGCGGCGAACGGGUGAGUAACACGUGAGUAAUCUGCCCCCUACUUGUGGAUAACGUCCAGAAAUGGGUGCUAAUACCCGAUAUUCAGGCGCUGCUGCAUGGUGGUGUGUGGAAAGGGUUUUCUGGUGGGGGAUGUGCUCGCGGCCUAUCAGCUUGUUGGUGGGGUAAUGGCCUACAAAGGCUUUGACGGGUAGCCGGCCUGAGAGGGUGACCGGCCACACUGGGACUGGAACACGGCCCAGACUCCUACGGGAGGCAGCAGUGGGGAAUAUUGCACAAUGGACGGAAGUCUGAUGCAGCGACGCCGCGUGAGGGAUGAAGGCCUUCGGGUUGUAAACCUCUUUCGCCAGGGAAGAAGGGUUUCUGACGGUACCUGGAGAAGAAGCACCGGCUAACUACGUGCCAGCCGCCGCAGUAAAAC
rnacentral:rRNA from 1 species